rnacentral:lncRNA from 10 species
GUUUCACGGCUCUGGGUCGUCGCUCCCGAGCCCUCCCUCUGCCCGCACUCCCGUCUCGGGCCCCGGGUCCCCGAGUCUCCAGCCCCCUCCGCCAAGUCUUCGUCUCUGGGUGGAUUCUUCAGCCCCAGGGAAACUUUGGAGUGGAGACCGGGGGAAGGGGCGCUAGGAGGAAUGGGAGCGACGCGGGCCGUUCGCCCCCGCCCCACCCCGUGUCUGGGGGUCUUUUUGGAUGGCCGCCCUCGGGCCCUUUCCUCCGAGGCCACUCUGGAGGGUAGACGCUCUCACACGCAGACAUUUAUUCAUUCAACAGAUAUUUAUUAAACGCUCGUUGCCAGUCGCUGGGAUCGAGUAGAGAGCAAAACAUAUUCCUGCCCUCGGGGAGCUUCCUGUCGGGUUCACAGACACACACGCACGCACAGGGACUCAGAGCCCCAGAGACACACACCGAGGCACCCACAGACACGAGCUAACUCCCAGCUUCAGUCACACCACUGACCCUCCCAGAGACACGAACCUCCGCUCCAGCCCCGCGGGUGCGCUUAGAGACCCACGAGAGUUAGAGACCCGCAACCACGAGGUGCUCACGAACACCAGUUACACUUGACCUCUAGGCACGCACACAGACACACAAGGGAAUCUCGGAGGGCUGCCGGGACGAAGAGGCUACAUCUACACAGGGCGGUGUAGGGGAAGCCCGUCUCUUCGACCUCCGUGCCUGGGAGUAGGGGCCGAGAGCCAGAUUAUUGCGAUGACCGGAAUCCCGGCGAGGACGGCCGCGCUCCGGUUCCUUGGUCAAAUUUGUGAAUUUCGCUAACACGAAAAGUUAAACAAGACACAGAGGAGAAACUGCACUUAAGGGUUUCUAACGAAUUACCUUUACUAGCAAGAAUAAAACUGCAAGAAAAUUAAACGUAAAAAUGUCAGUCCUAAAUCAUGCACGAGUUUCAGAAUAUUUGAAUAUUUCCUUUUGGGGCCCACCGCUGCCAAGGUGGCCGCAGUUUCGGGUUUCGCCGGACAGGGCUCACUAAAACGUGCCUACGCCCCAGGGAUGGACGACUUGGAGACAGGGGCCGGGAAGCCUUUGUCUCAGGUCACCCUGCGCCAGGUUUGUCGCCUAAGUUUAUGGGAUGGACGGGAGACAACAUUUGUAAGUUUAGAGUUUUGGGAACGUUGUUUCGUUUAAUCCUCCCCACACCGUUUUAGGGUGGCUGUUCAUAUUUCCCAUUUUGUGGAUGGAGCAACUGAGGUUUCGACGGGAAAAAGUGACUCGCUCAAAGUCACUCAGGCUGAAAUCGGCAGAGUCGGGACUUGAACCCAGUCUGUGCCUCGCUACGACAGGGGUUCCGCUACCACGCGUUGGUCGAGUGCGGGUGCGGAACUGGGAUGUCCGAGCCUCCUCUACCAGCCCAUCCGCAAAUGUUCCCUGCGAGGUCUGGAGAAACCCGGUGCCCCGCGGGCUGGGCUGGAUUCGUGGCGGGUACCUAGGGUCGAGCUGUCAAGUUCAAUCUCAAGCUUCCAACAUUUAUUUUCCUGAGCGCCCACUAUGUGUCGAUCCGCAAAAAACGAGCAAGAGCAGGAACCAGCCAACAAGUGGUUCAAGUUCAUCGCGCUCUCCCCGGGGUAACUGAACACUGCUUUAGGGUGUCACGCAGACCCUGGCGGUGCGACUUUCGGCGAGUGACUUCACCUCUCCGAAAUCCGGCUUGUCCCUCUGUAAAUGGGGCAUCAGUACCCCCGGGCAGGGGCUGUAGUGAACAUCGAACGAAAAUCCUUUUGUAAAGCGUGAAGGCACACAGUAGGUGCUCAAUCCCUGCUCGUGCCCUCUCCGCCGCCCUAUGCGUGCCAGGGCCGCGCGCUCCCGCUCCUGCUUCCCGCUUCCCGCACCUUCUCCCGUCUCGCGCGUCCCGCGGCGAAGGGACUGGGGCAG